GAUGAACGCUGGCGGCGUGCCUAAUACAUGCAAGUCGAGCGAACGGACGAGAAGCUUGCUUCUCUGAUGUUAGCGGCGGACGGGUGAGUAACACAUGGAUAACCUACCUAUAAGACUGGGAUAACUUCGGGAAACCGGAGCUAAUACCGGAUAAUAUUUUGAACCGCAUGGUUCAAAAGUGAAAGGCGGUCUUGCUGUCACUUAUAGAUGGAUCCGCGCUGCAUUAGCUAGUUGGUAAGGUAACGGCUUACCAAGGCAACGAUGCAUAGCCGACCUGAGAGGGUGAUCGGCCACACUGGAACUGAGACACGGUCCAGACUCCUACGGGGGGCAGCAGUAGGGAAACUUCCGCAAUGGGCGAAAGCCUGACGGAGCAACGCCGCGUGAGUGAUGAAGGUCUUCGGAUCGUAAAACUCUGUUAUUAGGGAAGAACAUAUGUGUAAGUAACUGUGCACAUCUUGACGGUACCUAAUCAGAAAGCCACGGCUAACUACGUG
rnacentral:rRNA from 1 species